rnacentral:rRNA from 1 species
GCAUGUCUAGUAUAACUGCUGAUACUGGGAAACUGCGAAUGGCCCAUUAAAUCAGUUAUAGUUUAUUUGAGGGUACCUUACUACUCGGAAAACCGUAGUAAAUCUAGAGCUAAAACGUGCGUAAAUCCCGACUUCUGGAGGGGACGUUUUUUUUAUAUAAAAGACCGACCGGCUUCGGCCGACCCUCGGUGAAUCAUGAUAACUUCACGAAUCGCACGGCCUUGUGCCGGCGAAGUUUCAUUCAAAUUUCUGCCCUAUCAACUUUCGAUGGGAGGAGAAAGGCCUACCCUGGUGGUAACGGGUGACGGAAAAUUAGGGUUCGAUUCCGGAGAGGGAGCCUGAAAAACCGCUACCCCAUCCAAGGAAGGCGGCGGGGGCGCAAAUUACCCCCUCCCCACCCGGGGAGGUAGUGACAAAAAAUAAAAAUACCGGGCUCUUUCCAGUCUGGUAAUUGGAAUGAAAACAAUCUAAACCCCUUAUCAAAAAUCCAUUGGAGGGCAAGUCUGGU